AGCAGCCGCGGUAAUUCCAGCUCCAAUAGCGUAUAUUAAAGUUGUUGCAGUUAAAAAGCUCGUAGUUGAAUUUCGGGGUCAGUAGAUUGGUCGUGCCACUGGUACGUACUGGUCUACUGGCUCCUCCUUCCUGAUGAACCGUAAUGCCAUUAAUUUGGUGUUGCGGGGAAACUGGACUGUUACUUUGAAAAAUUAGAGUGUUUAAAGCAGGCUAACGCUUGAAUACAUUAGCAUGGAAUAAUGAAAUAGGACGUUCGAUCUUAUUUUGUUGGUUUCUAGGAUUGACGUAAUGAUUAAUAGGGAUAGUUGGGGGCAUUAGUAUUCAAUUGUCAGAGGUGAAAUUCUUGGAUUUAUUGAAGACUAACUACUGCGAAAGCAUUUGCCAAGGAUGUUUUCAUUAAUCAAGAACGAAAGUUAGAGGUUCGAAGGCGAUCAGAUACCGCCCUAGUUCUAACCAUAAACGAUGCCAACCAGCGAUCAUUCUGAGUAACUAAUUUCAUGACUCGAAUGGAAGCUUACC
rnacentral:sRNA from 1 species